rnacentral:rRNA from 1 species
CCUGGUUGAUUCUCCCUUUAGUCAUAUGCUUGUCUCAAAGAUUAAGCCAUGCAUGUCUAAGUAUAAGCAACUUUGUACUGUGAAACUGCGAAUGGCUCAUUAAAUCAGUUAUAGUUUAUUUGAUGGUUUUUGCUACAUGGAUAACUGUGGUAAUUCUAGAGCUAAUACAUGCAUUCAAGCCCCGACUUCUGGAAGGGGUGUAUUUAUUAGAUAAAAAUCAACUUUGUUGGUGAAUCAUAAUAACUUCUCGGACCGCAUGGCCUCGUGCUGGCGGUGCUUCAUUCAAAUAUCUGCCCUAUCAACUGUCGAUGGUAGGAUAGAGGCCUACCAUGGUUGCAACGGGUAACGGGGAAUAAGGGUUCGAUUCCGGAGAGGGAGCCUGAGAAACGGCUACCACAUCCAAGGAAGGCAGCAGGCGCGCAAAUUACCCAAUCCCAACACGGGGAGGUAGUGACAAUAUGUAACAAUAUACGGCCUUAUACGUCGUAUAAUUGGAAUGAGUACAAUUUAAAUCCCUUAACGAGGAACAAUUGGAGGGCAAGUCUGGUGCCAGCAGCCGCGGUAAUUCCAGCUCCAAUAGCGUAUAUUAAAGUUGUUGCAGUUAAAAAGCUCGUAGUUGGACCUUGGACCUGGACAGGCGGUCCGCCUCACGGCGAGUACUGUCUUGCUGGGUCUUUCCUCUUGGUGAUCUGUUGUUUCGGCAGCAGGGAACCAGGACCUUUACUUUGAAAAAAUUAGAGUGUUCAAAGCAGGCUCGACGCCGGAAUAUAUUAGCAUGGAAUAAUAAAAUAGGACGUGCGGUUCUA